GACGAACGCUGGCGGCGUGCUUAACACAUGCAAGUCGAACGGUGAAGCGCCUUCCUUGUUGGUGGGUGUGGAGGAGUGGCGAACGGGUGAGUAACACGUGAGUAACCUGCCCCCUUCUUCUGGAUAACCGCAUGAAAGUGUGGCUAAUACGGGAUAUCCUGGGUCUGUCGCAUGAUGGGUCUGGGUAGGCUGUUGUUUCGGUGGGGGAUGGGCUCGCGGCCUGUCAGCUUGUUGGUGGGGUGAAGGCCUACCACGGCGGGGACGUGUAGCCGGCCUGGGCGGGUAGCCGGUCUCACUGGGUCUGAGACACCGCCGGGACUCCUACGCGGGGCAGCCUUGUGCAAGAUUGCGCAGUGGGCGCUAGCCUGCUGCGGCGGCGCCGCGUGUGGGGUGGCGCCGUUCGCGUUGUGAACCUCUUUCGCCAGUGAAGCAGUCCCGCCUCGUUUGUGGGUGGGUUGACGGUAGCUGGAUAAGAAGCGCCGGCUAACUACGUG
rnacentral:rRNA from 1 species